AUUGUUUUCAAUUGUUCAUCAAUAAUUUAUUACGAGAAUCAAUAACUAAUUCCGCUAAUGUCAUCACAUAAAUAUGAAAUGUGUCAAUCAACAAAUUAUAUAAUAAAAAAUAAGGCAUCUUAGCAACAGCUGCUGAUAAAGGCGGGAAGUAUUGCUUAGACUAACUCGUCUGCUCAUAAAGGCGGGAAAAUAUUGCUUAGAUUAUCACGUAUUGUUAAUACACUGUCUUGUUAGCUCCACCCAAAUCCACUACACUGUCUUGUUAGCUCCACCCCCAAGCCCCGACCCACUCCACUGUCUUGCUAGCUCCACCCCCAAGCCCCGACCCACUCCACUGUCGUGUUAGCUCCACCCCCAACCC